rnacentral:rRNA from 1 species
AGCGAACGCUGGCGGCAGGCUUAACACAUGCAAGUCGAGCGGGCGUAGCAAUACGUCAGCGGCAGACGGGUGAGUAACGCGUGGGAACGUACCUUUUGGUUCGGAACAACACAGGGAAACUUGUGCUAAUACCGGAUAAGCCCUUACGGGGAAAGAUUUAUCGCCGAAAGAUCGGCCCGCGUCUGAUUAGCUAGUUGGUGAGGUAACGGCUCACCAAGGCGACGAUCAGUAGCUGGUCUGAGAGGAUGAUCAGCCACAUUGGGACUGAGGCACGGCCCAAACUCCUACGGGAGGCAGCAGUGGGGAAUAUUGGACAAUGGGGGCAACCCUGAUCCAGCCAUGCCGCGUGAGUGAUGAAGGCCCUAGGGUUGUAAAGCUCUUUUGUGCGGGAAGAUAAUGACGGUACCGCAAGAAUAAGCCCCGGCUAACUUCGUG